GGCGUUUCCCAUGGUGGUGUU
rnacentral:siRNA from 1 species